rnacentral:rRNA from 1 species
GCGAAUCGCCCUUCGGGGUGCACCAGGCGCGAAAACUUUACAAUGCUGGAAACAGCGAUAGGGGGACUUUGAGUGCCAGGAUACAAUCUUGGCUGUCGUAAUGCCUAAAAAGCAUUGCAUAGCAAGGGCCGGGCAAGACCGGUGCCAGCCGCCGCGGUAACACCGGCGGCUCGAGUGGUAACCGCUAUUAUUGGGUCUAAAGGGUCUGUAGCCGGCUGGAUAAGUCUCUUGGGAAAUCCGACAGCUUAACUGUCGGGCUUUCAGGAGAUACUGUCCGGCUCGAGACCGGGAGAGGUGAGAGGUACUUCGUGGGUAGGGGUGAAAUCUUGUAAUCCUUGAAGGACCACCAGUGGCGAAGGCGUCUCACCAGAACGGAUCUGACGGCAAGGGACGAAAGCUAGGGGCACGAACCGGAUUAGAUACCCGGGUAGUCCUAGCCGUAAACGAUACUCGCUAGGUGUCAGCCACGGUGCGACCGUGGUUGGUGCCGUAGGGAAGCCGUGAAGCGAGCCACCUGGGAAGUACGGCCGCAAGGCUGAAACUUAAAGGAAUUGGCGGGGGAGCAC